ACCGCGGUAUUCCUACGCGCCGGUCGCGGCACGCACAAUGCACGCGUAAUCCGCCGUAAUCAUCAAGAUCGUUCAUGUGCGUGAAGAUAGAAGUGGUCAUAGAAAAAAAAACUUUAUUUUUUAUUGCCGCUUGUGUAUUGCAUAGUGGAGGCUCAUUUUCUCAGUGCUCGUGUCAUUAUUGCGUACGAUAAAAUUGAGUGAAAUUUUCCAGAUAAGACGGGCGCGGAGCUUUCCGGUGGCGCUGGUGUUGUAGCCGCCCUGUUGUGUUAGAGAACGAGGAGAAAGAGGUGCGGUGUUGCGUGAUUGGGAGCGAGCGAUCGUAGCGUGUGUGUUUGUUGUGUUGUAAGCGAAUUAAAAAUCCUUCAUAUCUUCUUUUUCGUGAACGCGGAUGCAUACGAAGUGAGAAAAGUAAAAUCGGGAGCGAGAGAAACAAGGGAAAAGAGAGAGAGAGAGGGAUUGAGCGAAAGGGAGAGCAAAAGUGUGUGAGAGAGAGAGAGCGCGCGAGAGCGUGAAAAGUACACGCGUUAGAAAGAGUGAAAGAGCGCAGAGCGAGAGAGAAAAAUUGUCGCCUAAUCUGCUUCGCGAAUUCGUCCGUCCGUCUGCACGACUAAGAGAAAAAAAGGUAUAAGAGAGACAAACAUGUCGUCCUACAUCCAGGUUGCUGAAGAUGAAGGCGAAGAGCCUAUCGAGCUGCCCACUGAAGAUGACACUACACUCUUACUCACCACUUUGUCUGCCCAAUUCCCCGGCACCUGCGGUCUCAAGUAUCGGAACCCGGAGUCUCGUACGAUGCGCGGAGUUCGGUUGGUUGACGGACGCCUGCAUCCGCCUGAAAAUGGUUGGGGCAAAGCCAUCUACUUCUGUGUGUUCCCCAAAGCUAAGACUAAAAGAAUGGAAACGAAGUUGCGUUGCACUGACUUGAUUGUACUUGGUUUACCAUGGAAAACUACGGAACAGAACUUGCGCGAGUAUUUCGAACAAUUUGGUGAAGUUUUAAUGGCUCAGGUAAAGAAAGAUGCAAAAUCUGGACAAAGCAAAGGAUUUGGCUUUAUUAGAUUUGGAAGUUAUGAAUCACAAUUGAGAUGUCUCGCUCAACGUCAUAUGAUAGAUGGCAGAUGGUGUGAUGUCAAGGUUCCCAACAGUAAGGAGGGAAUGAUUCAGCAAGUACCCUGCAAGGUAUUCGUCGGGCGCUGUACAGAAGACCUAACUGCUGAUGAUCUGCGAGACUAUUUCUCCAAAUUUGGCGAAGUCACGGACGUGUUCAUCCCGAAACCUUUCCGUGCAUUUUCGUUUGUUACUUUCCUAGAUCCCGAAGUCGCCCAGUCAUUAUGCGGUGAGGAUCAUAUUAUCAAGGGCGUGUCGGUGCACGUCUCGAAUGCCGCGCCCAAGUCCGAGGGCAAUAACAAGAAUUUCAAUAAUCAAGUAAACUCGAAUAUGCGAGGCAGAGGCGCACCGGGACCCGUUGAUAAUAACGUACAAGGCAAUUAUCAGGGAAAUCGAUAUAUGGGCCACUCCGGUAAUAACAUGGGUCCAAACGGCUGGAAUAAUCCUGGAAAUCGCGGCAAUCUUGACAUGCCGAAUCUGCAGGCUCUAGGCAUUACUGGACAGAACAACGGCGGUGGUGGCGGCGGCGGUAUGUCGAAUCCGUUGGCUAUGGGCAGUUUGAAUUUAUCCGCUUUGCCAGUUAAUCCAGCCUUGAUGGCUGCCCUGAAUCAAGCUUCAUGGGGCUUAAUUGGUAACCUGCAGAAUCAGGGAAACGACCAAAGUUAUUCAAACCAGCCAGGUCCACCGGGCCAGCCGCCUUCCGGUAAUAAUAGCAUGGGCAAUUCCGGCAACUCCGGAUUUCUCAGUUGGAUGAAUCAGGGCGGCGGCGAUGGCAACACCGGCAAUCCAGGCACCGGCGGCCCAGGGCCAAAUAAUCCUAAUGCAUCUCAGGGCGCCUGGCAGAAUCAUCCGGGCCAACGCGAUCAGAAGUCGAAUACAUUUCUCAAGUACGAGUAAAUUCAACCGGGGCCGUGGAUUUACUCGUAAUAGACGGAUUCUCUCCGCGGGUCCCGGCGCACGUACCUUAACGAACGACAACGGUGGCAGAGUUCAGCAGCAGCAGCAGCAGCAGCAGCAACAACAACAACAGAUCGAGGGUACAAAGCGCGUCGUUCCCGGGAAGAAGGGUCGGAGCCUACUACGUUGAUGUCUCUUAUUUUUUCUUUUUCUUCCUGUUUUACAUCAAUCGCCGUCAUUUCGCGCAUGGAUAAAUACAUUGAGUACCCCCGACAUAAAUGAACUGCCCCGCUGUUCUUAUAGGCUUGAUGAGUUAGCACAAUUCCGUUCGUUGGAAGAGUUAGGCAUGUGCGUGUAAACACGGAUAGCUCCGAUCAUUUUGGACAUAUGUAAACUUCCUUUGUUUGUAUGAUUUCGUCUGAGCGUAUAAUUCUACUGGAAUGGAAAUGAUUUAACUGAUGUGUGAGUUUAAUAUUUGUACAUGAAAUGUAUCUGCGCGUCAAAGUUGAAAUUAUACAACUAAAUAUGUAUGUAUGUGCUUAGUGUAAUGACUAGUACAUUUGUGAUAUACAAAUGAGAGAUAUUCAGCAAGAGUUGAGAUCGAGGGAGAUUCGAGUUACUUUUAAUCAGUUGCCAUUAUGAUUAAAUAAUCAAUAAAAUAUUCGAGUUCUCUCGUGCUGUACAAAAAAUGUAUAUAUAUUUUUGAAAAAUAUGAAAUAUUUUUUUCAAAUGAACUGUAACUAUCAGAAAUCAGAGAUAAUUAUUGGUUUUAUUUAUCUGUUCUAUUUAUAUGUAUGCCAUAAAUUGCAUUAAACAAUAAUAGCUUGAGUCUCUCUCCGUCGCAAAUCUUUUCAAUAAGCGUGGCUUUUUAAUGGACAUUUCUUUAAAAAGGCUUUUUAGGUUAUAUUAAAAUUAACCUUCAGCUAAUCAUUAACCAUGAUUAAUUAAAUUUUCUCUUUCUGUCUACAUCACACAUUUUGUUACAUUUUGUGAUGUAGAAAGAAAUCAGAAUAAAUAAUCGAAUAUAUUAGUUAAUUGAAGCUGUCGGUGUAUUGGGCACCGUAAUGUGGCAAAUGUGGCAAUAUACACUGCAAUCGCGAAAUUGAAGUCGUAGGACUUGCCAUGUCUUGUCGGAUUGAAUCGAGUAACGUUGUAUUGCUAAACAUUGUCACUUAUUACUGACAACUAUUUAUUUGUUGUACAGUAUAAGUUGUACAUCUCAGCAUCGCUUUUUUGACAAUUUUAGAAGCUUUACAUGGUGUACUUUCGAAUACUAAUAUAAAAGACUAUUUCACUGCGUAAAACAUACUUUCUUCUUUCGAAUUGGAUAGUCUCGUUUAAAACACCACAGUCUCUUUUGAGAUAUGUUUUUUCCAGUGCAAUUAGUUAUCCGCGAUUCCUUAGAAUUAAUUACCAUUUUUAUCAUUCUACAUCUGUUUGAAUUAAUAUCGUGUAAUUGGCCCACCUCGGAUUUAUCAAAGCAUUAUAAAAGUUAGUUUCUAUAACGAGCUAAACAAUAAAAUACUACUAAUAAUUUUUUGUAUAAUAUUUUCACAAUUGUCUAAAUAAUAGUUGACUUGAAAACAUCUUUUUAGAUAUUGAAUAGAUUGAAAAUUUUCUUCAACUGUGGUACAGAGUUAUCCCUGCUGACGUAGUCUUAUUUUACAAUAGUAGUCUUUGAUUGAUCCACGCUAAAGAUUGCCUUUUAAUGGAGUGCCAGUGAACAAAUCGAUUUUUUGAAAGAAUGAGUAAUAUGAUUGGAAGUGUAUGAAUGUGUCAGGAUAGAGGCGUCACAUGAUGUUGAGAGAAUGAUCGCAGCUACCCGUAACGUAUGAUAUUUACUGAGUUAAACUUCUGUUUCAUAUAUCUCGAGUGUAUACAUAAGUACUUUAUUAUGUAAGAAUUGUAUUUUACACUGGUGUGUAGGUGUGUCAAAAUUAUUGAUUGUUGGUGUGUGUGAAAGAAAGCAUUUGAAUUAGAUUCUUUUAUUUAAGUUAAGUGAUGUGAAAGAAAAAACUAAAAAUGUCUAGAAGUGUGUGUCUUAUAUGUACGUACAGACACAUAAAACAUUUCUACAGGAUAUUUGACGCAAGACGUGUUAUCGCUGUUAGAGUUCAUUGUUCAACGCUCGUAAAGUAACGCAGAUAAAACUCGUUAAAUUAAACAAAAAAAAGUCACUUAUCAUUUAAUGAGUUCUACCUGCGUAUGUUGGAACGUCUUAUGUUAAAUAUUCUGUAUGUGCUGUAAGUACUGAGUGCGUCUUUGAUGACAAGAUUCUCAAACUGUUUCCUUGAACGACAAUGAAAUAAGUAGCUUUACACGUUGAGAGUAUUUAUUUAAAAAAGAGUCUCUAGUAACACGACGAGGAACGAUGCAAUUCACAUCUCACAAUUAUAGUCAAUAACUUUAACAUACGGAAUAUAUAGUUACAUCGCAUAAUUAAACUUAAAGACCACAUCUGUCACCGCGACAUCACUGGUGUGUACUGCAUUAAGAAAUUAUUUAGAUCGACUAUCUUUUCUCAAAAUGCUAAUUAUCUUAUGAGUAUAUACUAUUGAAAGAGAAAAAAUAAAUUAAUACUAAGAGAUGUAUAUGCUGUUGUACUCUUCAUUUAUUGUACAAGUAAUUUUUCAUAUACUUCCUAUUUGACGCGAGAAUAUUGCUGCUCAUUAAUAUAUGCGAUCUAUUAAUAAUAAUCUCUCUCGCACAGUACUCUUUCUCUCUCAUUAGCGUCGAUUCUUGUCGUUACACGUGUCAUCAUGUACAAACAAUUGAAAAAUUCCUGACUUUUAAAUCAGACAAUUGGAGUGUUCGAUACAGGCACGAAUCAUUGUGUGUAUGACGGUUGAAUGUAUUUGUUAACGGUCGUCUCAGAGCUACAGGCAUGAAAGUUUUCACUUAGUAAAAAUGAUAAUGAUGCCGUUUGUUCAAGAGCACGCACGCGUGUUACUCGGCAACGCAAGAUGUAGCAAAAUGAGGUGACUGAAUUAAUAAUGUAAGGCGAGCGGAAAAUUGCUGUAUAAGUCUUAGCUUGAGAGUGAGCAAAAGUGGUUUGAUGUGUGUUUGGUAUAUACUUGACCGAGAUUGUUUAUAUGCAUAUAUGUAAAAAGAUUAAAUCAGAUUUAAAGUGGGAAUAAACAAUAUAGAGCUCGUUGAUCGACAUUCUGCCGCGCUUCUUAAGUCUGUAAAUUGUUAGAUCAAUAUACACAGAGGCUGUAGUUUAAGACAACUUUUAACAGACAUUAGAACCGUAAUUAGCUUGUCGCUGACGCACAAACGUUCGUGCUUUUAAUAUAUUAAUAUACGGAAAUAUUUUCAGGGAACGCAAUUCCAAUACGCAAGAUACGUGAAGUGAAAUGAAGUAAAAUAUAAUUUGUACGAGAAGUAAAAUAAAGUGUGGAUGACGAGAGACAACUGUAUGAUGGACAGUAGUCGGUUAAUCAGUCUGAACAUUCGUGCGUCAGUAGUCGCGAUCACGGAUCAUUUCAAAUCGUUUGAAAUAACGAUGCCUGCGGCAUGCGUUUUGGUGUACUACAAAUUGAUCGAUUGCGAUCGAGAACAACACGACACCGUAGAUAAGCUCUUCGUGAUCCCUCAAUAAUUCAAUCUGUAGAACAGUGAAAUUUCACGCGAUGAGACUUACUGCUCAAAGGAGUUGCCUUGCAAAACGAUUUGAAAGUGAUCUACGAAAUAUGUAAAUACGGAUUGAUAAAGCAAUUUUAAUAUCGCUCAUAUAAAAUGUAUCGAAUUUUAUUGUAAAGUUAGCUGCGUUCUUGUAAAUCGCUCGAUAUGUUAUUGUAUUCUGAGAGAGAGAGAGAGAGAGAGAGAGAGAGAGAGAGAGAGAGAAUGAGAGAAGGAAGAGAGAGAGAGAGAGAGAAAGAGAGAUAAAGAAAGAGAGAGAGAGGGAGAGAGAGAAAACGAAACUGUGCAUGGCAGUUAGUUGAGUUGAAACGUGUGUCGUGAAAUAUUGUCGUGUGAGAAUGUUGGUUUUAAUCCGUCGAUCUCAAUUGUUGAGGGAUUUCGAGCCGCGUCGCGAGAAAGGACUCAGUGAGAAAUAGAAUCCGGCUUUCUUCUUUUUACACUUUUGAGAUACUUUGAGCUAUAAACUCGAAGCUGAAUGAGAGUUUACUCAUCGAGGAUUUUUUUACCUGUACCGUGUGUUGCGCGAGACUUUGUGGAUGUAAAUUAUUAGUUUGAUGAUCGCAAACAACGUAUCUAUACAUACGUUUUCUAAUUUGUAUUGACGACGUGAAAUCGUAAAACAUUCUCCGAGUCGCCACGGUGCAAAAAUACUCAACGUCGUCCUCCGUUGAUUGUAGUGUAUGUUAAACUAUGCCGAGAAUAAAAAGACCCAAACACCGUGGGUAUCACACAUAUCCUUUCACGUGUCUUUAAAUAUUGAGCUAACGCACAAUUGUACACUUCCUGGUUGUCCCAGAAUUAGUGGAAGAUGGAUACGUAGUUUGUUAUCUCUUGUGGAAUUUGAAGUCGAGUUUCGUUAAGAAUAAUACUAAGGUAUUAAGUUUUUGAAGACAAGUGAUUUUCUGCAAACUAAACUUCAAAAAUGAAAGUGGAGCACAUGAUUUGAUAUUAUUAUAUUAUUUUAUAUUAUAAUCUAUAAAAUAGAUUUCUUUUUAGUUAAAUGUGUCAAAAUGAUUCUGAAUUUAAUGUGUUAAAAUGAAAUUCGUAAAAUUGCGAGAAGUGAUGAUCUUUCUUCGUCACAAAUUGACUCCAAACUGCGUGAGAAACAAACUCUACGUAUCUAUUUUUGGCGUUAAUUCUAGGAUACCCAACAUCCACAGUAUAUUUAAGAUUUGUCCAAUGUUAACACAUACAUCAGACAAGCAACUCAAUACGCAAUAUUUUCUUAUUUUAUCAUCCAAAAAGCGUGGUGACUCUUUGAUAUUUUCAAGAAAAUCAUGCUUAUGCAAUAAUGAGCAAUGCGCAAGAUUUUAUUUUAUUCUUAUGAUUCAUCAAUCUCUCACCGGGAAAUACAGUUAAGCUUAAUCAGGAAUAUGUAAUUACAUCGCGAUAAGGGCGCGGUUGUAGGGCAACGUUUAAAACAGUAGAAUCGUGAAAACAAGCAGAAGAGUACGAAAGGUAAUGUAACAGUGCACCGGUAACCGGCCUUUUGGGUGAUGAUGACUGAAUGAAGAGAUGAUCGCUAUGGUAGACGUAAAACUAUGGAAACAUCCGCUGAUCCUCAAAAAAAACAGGUGAUUACGAUCUUUUAUGAUGAUGAUAUUUCUUUCAUAACGCCUCAUACAUCACCUCAGUGACCAAAUGUAACCACUUAGAGUAAUCAUAAUUAUUAUUGAUACUGACUUACCGUCAUCUUCAAAACGUUGAUUUUGUACGUUGAUUUUAACAAUAGUUUGACGAUAUUUUCUUUUUGUUAAUCUUAUCACAUUGACAUGUUCGUAAUAUUUUCUCUUCGCAGUGAAACAAAUUAGUUAUGAAUAUUUGUUGUUUCUCGAAUAUUUCGCGUGUGUGCUUUUUCUUAUUACUAUUAAAAGUAUUAUUAGAAUUAUUAUUUUUAUAGAAGAAAAUAUUACAGUAAAUGUCAGUCAAUUUCAAAUUAUUUGUAACUGUUUUAUUGAUAUGUAUCUCUUAUGAAGAUUCGCUUAUUUUUCGCAUUUUUACAUUAUAUUUAACAAAAAUCUUCACUUUUUGUCAUUAUGAAAAAUUGAUAUGACAAAAAUUUAUGUGAAUUUUGCUCAAUUGUUUUGACUUCGCAUCACCAAUGAUCUUAUUCUUUCUUUAUCCAUUUGUGGAAAAAAUGAUCUUCGCGCAAAUGAAAUUAGUGUUUUUUACAAAUUUUUGUUGCACGCAAGAUUAUACUGUAUUUGUAUUUCUAAGUUCGCUUUCCGUUUUUUAUUUUUUAAGAAUAUAAUUAUCACAUACACAUAUUUAUCCUGCGUGAUUGGAUAAUAUUUAUUAUUAUUAUUAUCGACGAGAAGUAAAAUUUCAGGCAUAUCUUCCGCGCAUUUACAUAUUUUUCUCAUAAACAAGAUACGAAUGGAUAGCGGGCCGAAUUAUCUAUGAUUACUAAACUACUAUGAUUAUUACUAAAGGUGAAUCCAUUUUGUAUUAAAAAUAUAUAUUAAAAAAUAGAUAAGUAAAAUAUAAAAAAUAUACAUUGUGGCAGUCAUACCAUCCAGUUUUCUUAUGUUCAAGUCUCGUCCUGGAAUACAGUAAGACUCACUGGUCGUGAUACUAAAGUAUAAGUUGGAAUGUUAGUACUUUUAGUUAGUCUGACUUCGAGUCCUCGCUUAAGCCGGACACUAAUCCUAUAUCCGAUUUUGUUCAACAGCCUGGAUGAGUAUAUUAUGUCAUGAUGAGUCCGUACGUGAAUAUACCUCUGGAUAGAUACGAAGUGUUGAUGCACGUGGAAGAUCGAAAGCGAGUGAGCGAGAAAGAGAGAGAGAGAGAGAAAGGUGAAAGAAUUGGAGAAGAUAUGAGAGAGCGGGAGAGAGAGAGAGAGAGCGAGAGAGCGAGAGAGCGAGCGAGCGAGCGAGCGAGAGAGAGAGUAUAUCAUUGCAGGAGAAUAUAAUUGCAAGUGGGAUGAUAUAUGUGGCAAGUGAUGAUGAGGAUGAGCAUGAUAAUAAUGAUGAUAAUGAUGGUAAUGCACUGCGUCGAGAGCAAGAGUUGCUAGACCGUGAGAACGAGUGCUUUUUGAAAGCGUGGAGUUUUUUUCGUACGCGUGCUGUUGAUAUUGCAAGAGCAUCUUUCGCGAUCGACGUUGAUCGUUGAUCGUUAAAUGCUGUGCAUGCUUUCGCGACAAGAAACAGGUAAUUCCAGGCAGUCGCGAAUGCAGAAAUUAUGAUUGGAGAACAGAUCUGUGGAGAUUUAUAAGAGGUCAUGGCCGAUGACAUACGGCGAGGAACUGUGGGAUUAAAGUAUAUAUGAUGAUGUGUUUAUGUACAUUUCUCUUUCAUGUUUCAGAUUAAAUAAUAAUUUCUAUAUUAAUUAUUUAUCUAGAUAUUUAUUAAAAAAUUAUGAGUAUUACAUAUAAUAUAAUAUAAUAUAAUAUACACGCUUAUUGUAACUUACAUAUAAAUUGUAACUACAUGAUGUGUAUUUGAGACUUUCUCAAUUAAUGUGAUGACAGUGUUCUUUCUAUAUUACCAACGAGAACAUAAAUAAUCUAUAAAAGGCUGAUUCCUGAAGAAGUAAAUAUUUAUUGUUCAAAUGUA